UACAGAGGGGGCAAGCGUUGUUCGGAAUUACUGGGCGUAAAGGGCGCGUAGGCGGCCGCCUAAGUCAGACGUGAAAUCCCUCGGCUCAACCGGGGAACUGCGUCUGAUACUGGGUGGCUUGAAUCCGGGAGAGGGAUGCGGAAUUCCAGGUGUAGCGGUGAAAUGCGUAGAUAUCUGGAGGAACACCGGUGGCGAAGGCGGCAUCCUGGACCGGCAUUGACGCUGAAGCACGAAAGCUAGGGGAGCAAACGGG
rnacentral:rRNA from 1 species